GAAGGCAAGACAGUGGCUAUAUUUCAUUAGGGGUUUGAGGAGAUUCGGUCUGUCACCAAAGACACAAGUUUCUACAGAUGUACUGUGGAGAACAUAUUAACUGACUGCACCACCGUCUGUUUUGGUUGGCGGGGGGGGGGGGGUUACUGCACAAAAUCGAAAUAAGCUACAGAGAGUUGUAAACUCAGUCAGCUCCAUCACAGGCACCAGCCUCUGUAGGAGCCAUGCCUCAAAAAAGCAGCGUCCAACAUUAAAGACUUCUGUCACCCAGGUCAUGUCUUGUUCUCAUUGUUACCAUCAGGAAGGAGGUACGAAAGCCUGAAGACACGCACUCAAUGAUUCAGGAACAGCUUCUUCCUCUCUGCAAUCUGUUACUGAAUGGACAAUGAACACUAUAUCACUACUUUUAAUUUCUAUUUUUGCACUACCUACUUAACUAUAACGUCUAUAUACAUAUAUAUUUACUGUAGUUCACAUUUUUUCCCUCUAUUACUAUGUAUUGCAUUGUGCUGCUGCCACGAAGACAACAAAUUUCAGGACAUGUGCUGGUGAUAUUAAACCUGAUUCCGAUUCUGAUUCUUUGUCACUUCCAUCCAUCUCCUCGCAGCCUCUGUUGCUGUUGUCCCUCUCUGCUCUGCCAUCCCCCCAGCCGGAUUCACCUUUAGCAUGCUCCACCCAUCCCACUCCACUUCUUUUGCUGGCUGCUACCCCUCUUUUAAUCCAGAUGAAAGAUCUUGACCCUCCACAGAUACUGCCUGACUUUCUGAGUUCCCCCAGUAGUUUGUUUGGAGUCUGUUGCUCGAUCUCCCAUCAGGGUUGGGAGAGACUUUUUAUCUUUCCAUGGGGUGCUUACAUGUUGCAGAGAAUCCUGCUCUAUAUUUGUAGGGUCGUUCACCUAGCCAGGAGGCCACAUCGCAACCAUUUCUGUCUCCAAAGGACAGCUGGACCCGAGAGUUCACUAAAAGAAUGGCAGUACACUCUCCCUCUCCUCCACACUUCCCUUGCCCCUGCAACAAUAACCCAUUCUCGCUAUGCCACCCGCAAACCACUGCAACACCAGCAAAACCCCCUACAAAACCACCAGUGUUUACCCCUACGUCACCACUACAACACCAAUACCACCACCACUCUUGCAACAGCGUCCCCAUCCACACUUGCAACUCCACCAACCCCUGUUCAUUACUUCUGCCCGUAACCCGGAGAAGACCCAGGUUUGAGGCCAGAUCCAAACACAGAUGGGAAAGUGGUAUCACAGUCUCACUCCCAAAACACCAGAUUGGAGCAGCACACAUUUCCAUGUGAACACCUGGAGUGAAGCCCGCCUUUGCAGGAAUGCAGCAGUUCAGUUCCGCACUGCUGCUUUUAGGUUCCACUUGGACAUCGGCCGUGACGAGGAGUAACUUGUGGGACAGUAAUCAGCACUGAUGAUGAUGGUUUGGAACUAUAUGUAUUAUUUCCAAAUCUGUGGAGGACACAAGGCUGAGACGGAGAGCGAGCUUUGAAAAAGGUGUAGAUGAAUUCCCGGGUGAUUUGGACAUGUUGAUGUAAUGGGCAGAUAUGUGCAGAUGCCAUAAAUCGUGGAUGAAUGUGAUGUAAUUGACUUUGGUGCCAAUAAUAAGACGGCAGUGUAUUAUCGGAAUGGGGAUGGAUUGGGAAAGGAGGAAGUGAUCCGGACAUCCUUAAGCAGGCGCAACACUCAGUGAGAGAGCGAAGUUGUUCACGGUGGUAGUGGAUGGGAUUCCGAGGUUAGGAGCAGGGAUGCCUUGCUGAAAUUGUACACCUUGAAUAUUGUGUGUAGCUUUGGUCUCUGUACCUGAGGAAGGAUGAUUUUACAAGGAAUUGAGUUCACCAACUGAUUGCUGGCAAAGUAAGUUUUAUACAAGAGAGACUGGACUAAUUAAGCUUUUAUUCACUGAUAUUUAGGAGAAUGACAGAGGAUCUCUUAGAAGCGUACAAAAUUCUAACAGGACUGGACAAGUUUGUAGUGAAAGGAGACACAUAUACUGGAAUCUGGAGCAAUAAACAAUCUACAAAGAAUCUUGAUCCAGGACAAAUUGCUCCUGAUGCAUGGGGAGUCUCCAAACUGGGGUGUCAGCAUAAGCAUUUGUCGUCCUCAUCAGUGUCGGUGAAAGGGUCGGGGCCAGUGGUUGCUCCACAUCGCACCACUCGAGUGCGGUAACUCCCGUUGGGCAGUUGCCAGGAGUGCCUGAGAGGAGGAGCAGAAGAGAUGGUGUGGGAUCUGCCAAGGCUUGUGGCCACUGCAGCCUCGAAGGUGCUGCUCAAACCACUGAGUUCCUGCAGAUUGUUGCUCCAGAUUCCAGUGUUUCAUGUCUCUGCUGCCCUUUGAGACCGGUGUCAAAGAUGUGCUAUUUGAGAAAGAUUCUGGGUUCCCUUGGAAACACUACCCCCUGAUACAGAACAUGCGAGUAGCUGUGUUCCCUACAUCCCCUCAUUGGUACAGAGUACAGCAUCACUGGUGAUGAAGUGCUGUUUGAAAGACGCCACAUCAGAUCAAAGAGUGGGACAGAUAACGUGAGUGUGAUGGGAAGAAGUAAGGGCUGGAUAGAAAAUGGGAAGAUGUGGGGGUGGGUGAUAAACAGAAGGCACAGGGUGAUGUAGACAAUCUGGUGAAGUGUAGUGUUACUUACUCGUGGCACAUGACAGUGGUGCCCUUGUCACGUGACUGGGGUUGAAGCUAUACUGGACUUGAGGUGAUGGUCUUGUGAUGGUGGAGUGACGUCAUUUUCCUGCCAGUAGAGAUCAUGUGACAAGUUUUUUUUUCAGGUUAUAAAAGGAAGACCCCACCCCGUGAGGAGGGGCAGUUCGUGGCUGGAUUUGCCAGGUUGACUUCAUGCCACUGCGUGUUUUAAGUGAUGACGCAGUUUAGUUGAAAGAUGAAGUUUUAUUUAAUGCCUAAAGUUUAAGAGGUCAUUUCCAGCAGGUUCUUUAUUCUGCUAGUUCGAGAAAUUUGUGGAGAGUGAAGAUCGAAGUUCGAGAGUUAAAGAUCGAGGAGAAUCGCUUUCUACGGUGAAACGGGUUUCGACCUUUUUGUUUGAUCCUUAUAUGGAAGGAUUUCGUUGACUAUCUUUGUGUUAAUCCCUGGGUAACCAGAAAGGAUUGAAGGUAGUGGAGAAGGAAAGGUCAGUGCCUUUAAGCCGUUCUGUUUCGUGAAUUCUUCGUGGGAAGUUCGAUGUUGGGGAUUGAAGCUAAGCGACGUGAAAGAGAAUUUAAAUCAUCUUAUAAAGUCUCUCCUUUUAAAUGGACUGUGAGAAUAUCGAACUUUUGGCAAUACCACUUUAAAGAAAUGUUUUUGCAAUAUCACUUUAAGAACUGUUUUUGCAAUAUCGCUUUAAGAACUGUUUGGGCUGCCGCACCGCAGCUGUUUCCGGUUGCGUUAGUGUUUGUUUACUUUUGGGGGGGUUUGUUUUCUGUGUUUAAUAAACGUGUUGUUUGUAUUAAGAAACCCUUGCCGAACUCAUAUAUUUAUUGUUGCCUGAAUACGUAACAGUAGAAAAUCUGACACCUGGAAACAUUGCAUGCUAAAGUCAUACAGUCACAGAGUAAUAAGCCCCUUGUCCAAACUCAUCGAUAUUGACCAAGAUCACUACUAAGCUGGUCCCAUUUCCAUGUUUGGUCCCUAACUCUCUAAGCCUUCCCUGUUCAUACCUGUCUGUGAGUGUCUUGAAAUGUAAUUGUAUCUACCUCUACCACUUCUUCUGGCAGUUCGUUCCUAAACAAAUGCCUAGUUCUUUACCAAGCCACCACAUUUACUUGUGAUAAGUAGAUCAGGUCCAGUAUUUCCAUUUUUGUCCCUUUUUGCAUCUUCUACCUUUUGUCUCCCUCCUGGUUCUAUUUACCCACUACCAACACAUUUCAUCCGUCAAAUCCAUUUCCCCAUCUGGUUCCACCUGCUCUUCACCUGUCCCUUCAUUAUCCCAUUAGCACCUCCUUUAUUUAUCAGAAUCGGACGCCACUUUGUGCUUCUGUUUAUCUCCCUCCUGCAGUUGUCUCUGCCUUCACCCUUCCAUCUCUCAAGCUCACUCUACCUGCCUCUACCUAUCACCCAUCUGCCUCUGACUCCCAACUCCAGCCUUCCCUACUUGGAUCUAUCUGCCUGUCAUGCUUCUGUUACACACUCAUGACACAUGACAGUGGUACCCUUGUCACGUGACUGGGGUUGAAGCUAUACUGGACUUGAGGUAAUGGUCUUGUGAUGGUGGAGUGAUGUCAUUUUCCCACCAGUAGAGAUCAUGUGACAGGUUUUUUUUUACAGGUUAUAAAAGGAAGACCCCACCCUGUGAGGAGGGGCAGUUCGUGGCGGGAUUUGCCAAAUUGACUUCAUGCCACUGCGUGAUUUAAUGUGAUGACGCAGUUUAGUUGAAAGAUGAAGUUUUAUCUAAUGCCUAAAGUUUAAAAGGUCAUUGCCAGCAGGUUCUUUACAAUACUGCUAGUUUGAAAUUAGUGGAGAGUGAAGAUUGGAGUUUGGGAGUUAAAGAUCGAGGAGAAUUGAUUUUCGAUGGUGAAACGGGUUCUACCUUAUUUAAUCCUUAUUCGAAAGGAAUUCGUUGACUGUUCUCGUGUUAAUCUCUGUGGGAUAGCAGAAGAUUGAGGACAGUGUGAUAAAGGAAAGGUCAGUGCCUUUAAGCCGUUUCGUUUCGUAAAUUCUUUGUGGGAAAAGUUCGACGUCGGGGAUCGAAGCAAAAUGACGUGAAAGGGAAUUUAAAUCAUCUUAUAAAGUCUCUCCUUUUAAAUGGACUGUAAGCAUAUCGAACUUUUGGCAAUACUACUUUAAAGAACUGUUUUUGCAACAUCGCUUUAAGAACUGAUUAAGCUGCCGCACAGCAGCUGUUUCCGGUUACGUUAGUGUUUGUUUACUUUUGGGGGGUUUGUUUUCAGUGUUUAAUAAAAGUGUUGUUUGUUAUAAAAUCCCUUGCCGAACUCAUAUAUUUAUUGUUGCCUGAAUACGUAACAUAAAUAUGGGGGCUCGUCUGGGAUUGGAUCGUUUGAGUUUAGAUGCUUGCUGACUUUUGCAUCAGUGUUUUGGAAAUGGGGACUACUCGAUUCUUUUGUUUGAUUGGCUUGUGAGUGGUAUUUGACAACGAUGAAUAUUGAUGAGUUUCUGGCUUUGCCAGGCGCGGAGUUGUUAGAGAAGGCGAAAAAGACUGAGAUGUCUGAGAUAGCUAGUAGGUUGCAACUUAAAGGUAUUUUGACGACUACAUCAAAGGCUGUGAUACAGAGAAAAAUCACGUCACACUAUGUGGAUUCGGGUUUUUUUGAUGAUUCGGUUUUAGAGUCAUUUCCAAUAAGUAAUCUUGAGAUGCAGUUGCAAAUCGAACAAAUGCUGUUAGAGAGUUGUAAAUUAGAGGCUGAUCAAAAACAGAGGGAAUUUGAAUAUACAAUGGAGGAAUUAAGGUCUGGGAAACAGUCUACUGGUUCUAAAAAAUCAUUUGUUGCUAGUCAAGAAAUUAUAUUGGUCCCUCCAUUUAGUGAAACAGAAGUGGAAAGAUAUUUUCAACAUUUUGAAACUAUUGCUCGGAUGUCAGAGUGGCCGAAAGAUAAAUGGUCAGUGUUGUUACAGAGUGUAAUUAAAGGUAAAGCACAACAAGUUUACACAGCUUUAACUGCUGUGCAAGCGCUUGAUUAUGAUAUUGUGAAGAUGCAUAACCUAAGCGCAUACAAAUUAGUCCCAGAAGCUUAUAGGGAAAGAUUCAGAAGUUUGAAAAAGUCUGUGGAAAAAACUUAUGUGGAAUUUGCCUAUGAUAAAGCUGUGUGUUUUGAGAGAUGGGUUUCUUCUAAAAAUGUAAAUGGGGACUAUGAUACAUUGAGAGAGCUGAUUUUAAUGGAGGAAUUUAAAAGAAGCAUUCCUGUUGACGUAAGGACUUGAAGUUAAGUGAGAGGGAUACUGAUAAAUUGCAGGACUGUGCUAGAUUAGCUGAUGAGUAUGUUUUAAUCCAUAAGAAUAAAUUUCCUCAGGGCAGAAUUUUUAAGAAGAAAAAUAACAUGGAGACUCAAGUUAAAUCAGAAAUUAAAUCAGAAGUUAAUGAGAAAGGUAAGGAGGAAGGAAAGCCUGUGAAGGAAAGACAGUUUGGUCUUAAUUGUAACUAUUGUAAGAAGCCUGGCCAUGUAAUAGCUAACUGUUUCAGAUUGAAAAAGAAAGAGAAGGAAGCAGUUACAGAUGCUUGUGUGCAACAUACGGAAGCACCUGUAAAAUUACAGGGUUUGAUAAACACAAAUGAGACUUUGUUAGAGUCUGAUCAUGUUAAAAAGGGAUAUGAUCAUUUUAUAACUGAAGGGUUUGUAUCCUUGAAGGAAUGAUCUACUCUGGUGCCAAUAAAAAUCCUUAGGGAUACUGGUGCUUCUCAAUCACUGAUGUUAGACAGUGUGUUGAAGUUUAAUGAAGAGUCUGAUUCUGGUGAGGUAAAUUACAUAAGAGGUGUUGGGAGUGAUUUUAUGCCUGUACAUUUACAUAAAGUAAAUUUAAAAUCAGGGUUAGUUACAGGAUUUGUUAAAGUAGGAUUACAGCAUAGCUUACCUGUGAAGGGUAUUUCUUUAUUGUUAGGUAAUGACUUGGCAGGUGGACAAGUUUUUCCUGAAGUGCAUUUGACAAUGGAGUUAGAGGAACCAGAGUUGAAUUCUAACACAGAUUCUUCCUGUGUUGUGACUAGAGCUAUGGCUAAAAAGAUUGAUGCGCAGAAUGAGGUUGUUACUCAGGACUGUUCAACUCAGGAUUCGAGUUUUGAGGAUGUGUCAAAGACUUUCUUACCUACGUUGUUGAACAAGAUUCUUGGAGUAAGUCUGACUAUAAAGAUUUAUCUCUGUCUCGGAAGGAGAUGAUAGCAGAGUAGAGUAGGGACUCAGACUAUAAAGUUAAGAGAACACACUUUACUAGGUAGUGAAAUUGAGAAGAUGCCAGUAGGAUAUUACUUGGAAAAAGGAGUGUUGAUGAGUAAGUGGAGAUCACCUACAAUUCCUGCAAGUGAGGAUUGGAAUGUUGUUUACCAGGUGGUUGUCCCGAAAGUUUAUCGAAAUGAGAUUUUGACUUUAGCUCACAGUGUGCCUUUAGGUGGACAUCAAGGGGUAAGGAAAACUGUGGACAAGAUUUUAAAACAUUUUUACUGGCCUGGUCUAAGAAAAGAUGUGGCGAUGUUUUGUAAUACGUGCCAUACUUGUCAAAUUGUGGAUAAACCAAAUCAGGUUACACCAGUAGCUCCAUUACAACCUAUUCCAGCAUUUGGUGAACCAUUUUCUAAAGUUAUUGUAGAUUGUGUUGGUCCAUUACCAAAGACAAAAACUGGUUAUCAGUAUUUGUUGACUAUCAUGUGUCUAGGUUUCCAGAGGCAGUACCACUUAGGAAUAUAAAAGCUAAAACUGUGACAAAGGCUCUUAUAAAAUUCUUUACUUAUUUUGGAUUACCUAAGGAGAUACAAACUGAUCAAGGCAUUAAUUUUAUGUCUGGAUUGUUUCAACAGAUAGUUUAUAAAUUGGGAGCUAAGCAAAUCACUUCGUCUGCAUACCAUCCAGAAUCGCAAGGUGCCUUGGAGAGGUUUCAUUUUACCCUCAAGAAUAUGAUUAGGACAUUUUGUGUGGAAAAUGAAAGUGACUGGGAUGAGGGUAUAAACUUACUUUUAUUUGCAGUAAGGGAAUCGGUACAGGAAUCUUUAGGUUUUAGUCCAUUUGAACUUGUGUUUGGGCAUAGAGUUAGAGGACCUUUAGCUUUAUUGAAAGAACAGUGGAUUAGUAAGGAAGUACACACUAAUUUGUUGGACUAUGUUUUGAAAUUUAAGUACAGGUUACAUAAAGCUUGUAGCUUAGCCAAGGAACAUUUAAACUUGGCUCAGGAGAAAAUGAAAACUUGGUAUGAUAAAGAAGCUAGGAUGAGGAUGUUUAAGCCUGGAGAUAAGGUGUUGGUUCUUUUCCCAGUGCAGACAAAUCCUUUACAAGCUAGAUUUCAUGGUCUUUAUGAAAUUGUGUCUAAAAUCAAUGAUGUGGAUUACGUGAUAAAAACUCCAGAUCGUAGAAGGUCAACACAACUUUGCUGUAUAAAUAUGAUAAUGUGGCGACCCAUUUCCAGGCACAUCCGAACCGACUCACAAUUAGAUAGCCUACGGGGGUUUGCGAGCACAGAGCUUUGGAGCCUCUGCGCCAUGGGGGGCAGGUUGAGGGAGGCUUAAAAGUGAGGCUGAAGAUUUUUUAUAAAGUUUUUUCCUUCGACUGCAGUUACCGACUCCGUGUCGUAAUUUUAGCGCUGCGUGUAGCACACCGCUACAAUAAAACCAUAUUUUGAGAAACAAUCUGAUACAGUGACUGUUGUGGUUAGUGAGAAUGAAUUUGAUUUAACUAGGAACAUGAUAGAUGAUUCAUCUGACUUUCAUUCUAAAUCCAACAUUGUUUCUGUUAGGUUACCAAAUUCAACCAUUCUGGAAAAUAUUGAUGAGAAAUUAGCACAUUUACAGCUAGAGCAGAAACAAUAGAUGAAGGAAUUAAUUUUUAAAUAUAGGGAGUUGUUUCCAGAUGUUCUGAGAAGGACUACUAUAGCUUCACAUGAUGUAUAUGUUGGAGAUGCCAAACCUAUUAAACAACAUCCAUAUAGGAUCAACAUAGAAAAAUGUGAACUUGCUGAGAAAGAAAUUGAAUAUAUGUUAGAGGAUAAUAUCAUUAGACAUUCUAACUCGAAUUGGAGUUCGCCAUGUGUUAUGGUGCCAAAACCAGAUGGUAGUAUUAGGUUUUGUAUGGACUAUAGGAAGGUGAAUGCUGUAACGAAAACAGAUGCAUAUCCAAUUCCUAGAGUAGAUGAUUGUGUAGAUAAAGUUGGAAAAGCAAAGUUCCUUACAAAGAUUGAUUUAUUGAAAGGAUAUUGGUGUGUUCCAUUAACGGACAGAGGUAGAGAGAUUUCUGCAUUUGUAACUCCAUCUGGGUUAUAUGAGUAUAAUGUUCUUCCAUUUGGGAUGAAGAAUGCCCCAGGUACUUUCCAGAGGAUGAUUAACUCUGUGAUUCAGGGAUUGAAAGAUACUGAUGCUUAUAUUGAUGAUUUAGUGACAGGAAAUGAUACUUAGGAAGCACACAUUAUUGCGGUGGAGAAAUUGUUUGUAAGGCUUUCAAAAGCUAACUUAACUAUUAAUUUAGCUAAGAGUGAAUUUGGACAUGCCACUGUGAUUGUCUAUCUCGAUGUUGAAUGUACAAUGCAAUUUUUUUUAUGGAGUGGUUUUUUUUUCAAUUGUAACACUCCUACUGUAUUGUGAGUUAUAAUGUUAUAUGAUGGUAUUGUAUAUUAUGUAUGUUAUAAAAUUUAUACAUUUGUUUUUCUUGUAAGCAAUUGUUAAAAAUUUUGGUCUUGUCAGACCAAAAAUGUUUUUUUGGAGGGAGGUGUUACGUACUCGUGACACAUGACAGUGGUACCCUUGUCACGUGACUGGGGUUGAAGCUGUACUGGACUUGAGGUAAUAGUCUUGUGAUGGUGGAGUGAUGUCAUUUUCUCGCCAGUAGAGAUCAUGUGACAAGUUUUUUUUACAGGUUAUAAAAGGAAGACCCCACCCUGUGAGGAGGGGCAGUUCGUGGCUGGAUUUGCCAAGUUGACUUCAUGCCACUGCGUGAUUUAAUGUGAUGACGCAGUUUAGUUGAAAGAUGAAGUUUUAUCUAAUGCCUAAAGUUUAAAAGGUCAUUGCCAGCAGGUUCUUUACAAUACUGCUAGUUUGAGAAUCAGUGAAGAUCGGAGUUCAUGAAUUAAAGAUCGAGGAGAAUUGAUUUUCGAUGAUGAAACGGGUUCUACCUUUUUUAAUCCUUAUUCGAAAGGAAUUCGUUGACUGUUCUCGUGUUAAUCUCUGCGGGAUAGCAGAAGAUUGAGGACAGUGUGAUAAAGGAAAGGUCAGUGCCUUUAAGCCGUUUCGUUUCGUUUCGUAAAUUCUUUGUGGGAAAAGUUCGACGUCGGGGAUCGAAGCAAAACGACGUGAAAGGGAAUUUAAAUCGUCUUAUAAAGUCUCUCCUUUUAAAUGGACUGUGAGCAUUUCGAACUUUUGGCAAUACUACUUUAAAGAACUGUUUUUGCAACAUCGCUUUAAGAACUGAUUAAGCUGCCGCACAGCAGCUGAUUUCCGGUUACAUUAGUGUUUGUUUACUUUU